rnacentral:rRNA from 1 species
UACGUAGGGUGCAAGCGUUGUCCGGAAUUAUUGGGCGUAAAGAGCUCGUAGGCGGUUUGUCGCGUCGAAUGUGAAAUCCCGGGGCUCAACCCCGGGCCUGCAUUCGAUACGGGCAGACUAGAGUUCGGUAGGGGAGUCUGGAAUUCCUGGUGUAGCGGUGAAAUGCGCAGAUAUCAGGAGGAACACCGGUGGCGAAGGCGGGACUCUGGGCCGAUACUGAGGCUGAGGAGCGAAAGCGUGGGGAGCAAACAGG